rnacentral:rRNA from 1 species
GACGAACCGAGCGAACGUUAUUCGGAAUCACUGGGCUUAAAGGGUGCGUAGGCGGGCUGUCAAGUCUGGGGUGAAAUCCCACGGCUCAACCGUGGAACUGCCUUAGAUACUGAUGGCCUCGAGGAAGGUAGGGGCAUGCGGAACUGUAGGUGGAGCGGUGAAAUGCGUUGAUAUCUACAGGAACUCCGGUGGCGAAAGCGGCGUGCUGGACCUUUUCUGACGCUGAGGCACGAAAGCUAAGGGGAGCAAACGG